UAAUGUUAACCUUGCCUCCGCCGGAGCGGGAGUGGGGAAAGCGAGACGGAGGGGCAAGGGCUAGGUGCAGGGGGGUACUGACUAGCAUCCCAACUCUGCUCCCUACGCUUCUUUCCGUGUACCAAGGGAGGAGGAGGAGCCCCUGCCUCGUUGCGUUGUGGCGUGAGUCUUUGUGGCUUUCGGGUGUGAGGUUGGUGGCACACACUGGCUCGCAGUAAACACCUAAUUGAUGUGACCCGUCUAUGACUGUUAUUGCCACCUUCCGAAGGAGCCUUGCCAGCCACUCCUCGCUUUCAGUUUCUUUUCCCUGCCUGAUUAACUCCUCAGCUCGAAUCGCCAUCUGACACUUUAUUUUUACUUUCUGGCUUUUAUUUAUUUAUUUAUUUCUCGUUCUGCUGCCCAGGCUGUGGUGCAGUUGUGCGAUACCGGCUCACUGCAGCCUACAGUUCCGGGGCUCAAGUGAUCCUCCCACCUCAGCCUCCCGAGUAGAGCUGGGCGCACCACCCCCGACUAAUUUUUUAAUUUUUGUAGAGACGAGGUCUCACUAUGAUGUUGCCCAGUCUGGUCUUGAACUCGUGGGCUCAAGCGAUCCUCCUUUCUCGACCUUCCAAAGUGCUGGGAUUACAGCGGUGAGCCACCGCACCCGGCCACUUUCUUGCUCUUUUGGUUUUGUUUGUUUGUUUGUUUGUCUUUUAUUCACUGCAGUGGAUAAUGUUGGCACAUAGUAGUUGCUCAGUGAGCUCGUUGAAUGAAUGCGUGCAAUUGCAUUUUUAAUUUAUAUCUGCCGGGCCCUAUCUCGUCUGCUCCUGAUGCAAAUUGCCUUGUACAUUAUCAACCUUAAGAGAUCUAACUAAACAGCAUAGAUUCAGGUUAUUUUGUAAAUACUUUGGAUAUUUAUGGAGUGCCAACUAGAUGCGCUGCCUAUGCGGGGAGGUGGGGGGAAGGGCGUGGGAAGGAACGGAAAGGGGAAAAUGACACAUCACCCAGAGUUUAUCUUCCUGGGGACCUCUGCAGGACACCCUGAGGCUAAGUUUCUGUGGGUAGGAAUCCAGGCAUAGCUCAGCUGGGGCCUCUGUUCCAGGGUCUCUCAUGAGGCAGCACAAGGGCUGGAGUCUCAUCUGUAGGAUCAGCUGAAGAAAGACCCUCCUUCAGCGCCUCUGCCCGGCCGCCCCAUCGGGGAAGAAGUGAGGAGCGCCUCUGCCCGGCCGCCCCGUCUGGGAAGUGAGGAGCGCCUCUGCCCGGCCACCCAUCGUCUGGGAAGUGAGGAGCGCCUGUGCCCGGCCACCCAUCGUCUGGGAAGUGAGGAGCGCCUCUGCCCGGCCACCCAUCGUCUGGGAAGUGAGGAGCGCCUCUGCCCGGCCACCCCGUCUGGGAAGUGAGGAGCGCCUCUGCCCGGCCACCCAUCAUCUGGGAAGUGAGGAGCGCCUGUGCCCGGCCACCCAUCGUCUGGGAAGUGAGGAGUGCCUCUGCCCGGCCGCCCCGUCUGGGAAGAAAUGAGGAGCACCUCUGCCCGGCCGCCCCAUCUGGGAAGAAGUGAGGAGCGUCUCUGCCUGGCCGCCCAGUCUGGGAAGUGAGGAGCGCCUCUGCCCGACCGCCCCGUCUGGGAGGUAUACCACGGAGGCCAGAAGCAAUCUGGGGGCUGCACGUGGUGGCUCACACCUGUGGUCCCGGCACUCUGGGGGGCCGAGGCGGGUUGAUCACUUCGGGCUAGAAGUUCGAGACCAGUCUGGACAACAUGGCGAAACAUAUGAAAAAUACAACAGACAAACCAACCAACCAACUCAGUGACAACAAAACAGGUCUAUCCUGGAGUCAUACUCUAAUUUUUUCUAUUUUCCUCCCUUUCUGAUCCUUUAUCCCACUUUCUUUUUCUUCCUCUUCCUUCUCCUUCUUCGUCAAAUAGAGGAUUGAGUUAUUAUCACUGAUCCAUAUAAAGUCCCUCUCUCAUUUAUUUUGAUUCCCACUCCCCAUUUCUAUUCCCCGUCUUCCCAUGUGCAACCUUCCUAAUAUGUUUGAUACGCAUCUUUUUGUUUGUAUGUAUUUUUAGAAAAUGUUUAUUGUUUUUGUGUGCAAAAAAAUUAAUAAAAAAAGAAAAAGAAAGAC